AGUGAACGCUGGCGGUAGGCCUAACACAUGCAAGUCGAACGGCAGCACAGUAAGAGCUUGCUCUUACGGGUGGCGAGUGGCGGACGGGUGAGGAAUGCAUCGGAAUCUACUUUUUCGUGGGGGAUAACGUAGGGAAACUUACGCUAAUACCGCAUACGACCUACGGGUGAAAGCAGGGGAUCUUCGGACCUUGCGCGAUUGAAUGAGCCGAUGUCGGAUUAGCUAGUGGCGGGGUAAAGGCCCACCAAGGCGACGAUCCGUAGCUGGUCUGAGAGGAUGAUCAGCCACACUGGAACUGAGACACGGUCCAGACUCCUACGGGAGGCAGCAGUGGGGAAUAUUGGACAAUGGGCGCAAGCCUGAUCCAGCCAUACCGCGUGGGUGAAGAAGGCCUUCGGGUUGUAAAGCCCUUUUGUUGGGAAAGAAAAGCAGCAGGUUAAUACCCCGCUGUUCUGACGGUACCCAAAGAAUAAGCACCGGCUAACUUCGUG
rnacentral:rRNA from 1 species